GACGAACGCUGGCGGCGUGCUUAACACAUGCAAGUCGAACGGAAAGGCCCUGCUUUUGUGGGGUGCUCGAGUGGCGAACGGGUGAGUAACACGUGAGUAACCUGCCCUUGACUUUGGGAUAACUUCAGGAAACUGGGGCUAAUACCGGAUAGGAGCUCCUGCUGCAUGGUGGGGGUUGGAAAGUUUCGGCGGUUGGGGAUGGACUCGCAGCUUAUCAGCUUGUUGGUGGGGUAGUGGCUUACCAAGGCUUUGACGGGUAGCCGGCCUGAGAGGGUGACCGGCGACAUUGGGACUGAGAUACGGCCCAGACUCCUACGGUACGCAGCAGGCGGGAAUAUGGCAGAAUGGGCGGAAGCCUGAUGCAGCAACGCCGCGUGCGGGAUGACGGCCUUCGGGUUGUAAACCGCUUUCGCAUGUGACGAAGCGUGAGUGACGGUAAUGGGUAAAGAAGCACCGGCUAACUACGUG
rnacentral:rRNA from 1 species